CCUACGGGAGGCAGCAGUUAGGAAUUUUGGGCAAUGGCCGAAAGGCUGACCCAGCAACGCCGCGUGGGUGAUGACGGCCUUCGGGUUGUAAAGCCCUUUUCUCGGGGAAGAUGAUGACGGUACCCGAGGAAUAAGCACCGGCUAACUACGUGCCAGCAGCCGCGGUAAUACGUAGGGUGCAAGCGUUGCCCGGAUUUAUUGGGCGUAAAGGGCGCGCAGGCGGUCCGGCGUGUCGUGCGUGAAAUCUCCCGGCUCAACUGGGAGGGGUCGUGCGAAACUGCCGAACUGGAGCCUGGUAGGGGGAAGUGGAAUUCCGGGUGUAGUGGUGGAAUGCGUAGAUAUCCGGAGGAACACCAGUGGCGAAGGCGACUUCCUGGACCAGAGCUGACGCUGAGGCGCGAAAGCGUGGGGAGCGAUCCGGAUUAGAUACCCUUGUAGUC
rnacentral:rRNA from 1 species